GGGGCAUAUAGAGGAAAAAGCAAGAAAGAAAAAUACAUUGCUUCAGGUCCAUUUAAUCACAGCAUUUACACUGAAUUUCAGUCAUAAAGGACCUCAGAGGUUAUAAAAUUCAACCUAUCAAAUCAUGUAAGGAACCUGAGUGCUGAUCAGAGUUUUGACAAUACAUUAAUCAACAAUAUAUCAUUUUCACCCCUGGGGAAAAGUA
rnacentral:lncRNA from 1 species